rnacentral:lncRNA from 1 species
AGAACAAAUAAUUAUGCACAAAAAAAGUAAAUACAAAUAUAGCUGGAUACACCCACAGACCUUCCCACCCAUAAGUGAGCCGUGCCAUAGAGGAGGUAACACCAGGUCUUAUAUAACGUACGUGUGGUGUAUCAUCCAAUUAUUUUGUCAUUCAUCGCUUCUCCUUCCAAUACCAGAACAGUGAUGGCAGCAGCAGGUUUGCCUAGAAGCAAAGAAGUGAGUGGGAUCACAGUCACCAAAGGCUUAUUCAUCAUUUUCACUCUGCUGUAUCCAGCUAACCUUUCAAAUUCACUGAUAGAUGAGGAUCAACUGGAGGAACUGAGAGAAAAUGUUGAGAAACUACAGGAAGAAGUACUGAGAAAGAAGGCUGAAAACAAGCUAGAUAGAAUUUAUACUCCACUAAUCUAUGAUGAUGCUACGCGCUUAAUAGACCAUCUAUUUAAAAUGAGAAAUACAGUGGAAGAGUUUAAACUGCUCACGCCAUUGAGGCAUUUCAUGGAUGACCUAAAGAAGCUCAUGGAUGCUACCAAGAAGUACAAAGGCAAACACCUUGAGUUAAAAGCUGCAGAACUCAAGGACAAUGAAGAGAAACUAAGUGGAAUUAUGAAGUGGUUAAUAUUACUAGAGGGGCAUAAAGAUGAACUGUAACAUAUUAGUCAUUGUCUGUCUCUUUCGCUGAUUCCACUGUAUUCAUAAAGCUUCUCUUCCAUAAUGUGCAGAUUCAGUGUGAAGUUUUUCACUCUCAUUAUUAUAACAUUGUUAUAAUUUGUUGUAUUAAGUAGUAUCAGUAAAGCUGACAGUUAAUAAUAAUGUAUUGGAAAAAUAAACCCUGUCUGCAAAUAAAGCUCAUGUUUGAUAAUCAACAAUUUGUCCAAUGCUUACUCACUGAUAAAAUAUAUCAUAUAUCAUAAGUGUAGCACACCAGUCAAUUAGUCACAUGAUGAAGGCUAACC